GACGAACGCUGGCGGCGUGCUUAACACAUGCAAGUCGAACGGUGAAGCGCCUUCCUUUUUGGUGGGUGUGGAUGAGUGGCGAACGGGUGAGUAACACGUGAGUAACCUGCCCCCUUCUUCUGGAUAACCGCAUGAAAGUGUGGCUAAUACGGGAUAUUCUGGGUCUGUCGCAUGAUGGGUCUGGGAAAGAUAUUGUUUCGGUGGGGGAUGGGCUCGCGGCCUAUCAGCUUGUUGGUGGGGUGAUGGCCUACCAAGGCGGUGACGGGUAGCCGGCCUGAGAGGGUGGACGGUCCCACUGGGACUGAGACACGGACCAGACUACUACGGGAGGCAGCAGUGGGGAAUAUUGCACAAUGGGCGCAAGCCUGAUGCAGCGACGCCGCGUGAGGGAUGGAGGCCUUCGGGUUGUGAACCUCUUUCGCCAGUGAAGCAGGCCUGCCUCGUUUGUGGGUGGGUUGACGGUAGCUGGAUAAGAAGCGCCGGCUAACUACGUG
rnacentral:rRNA from 1 species